rnacentral:rRNA from 1 species
UCUUGACAUCCUCUGACAACCCUAGAGAUAGGGCUUUCCCUUCGGGGACAGAGUGACAGGUGGUGCAUGGUUGUCGUCAGCUCGUGUCGUGAGAUGUUGGGUUAAGUCCCGCAACGAGCGCAACCCUUGAUCUUAGUUGCCAGCAUUUAGUUGGGCACUUUAAGGUGACUGCCGGUGACAAACCGGAGGAAGGUGGGGAUGACGUCAAAUCAUCAUGCCCCUUAUGACCUGGGCUACACACGUGCUACAAUGGACAGAACAAAGGGCUGCGAGACCGCAAGGUUUAGCCAAUCCCAUAAAUCUGUUUUCAGUUCGGAUCGCAGUCUGCAACUCGACUGCGUGAAGCUGGAAUCGCUAGUAAUCGCGGAUCAGCAUGCCGCGGUGAAUACGUUCCCGGGCCUUGUACACACCGCCCGUCACACCACGAGAGUUUGUAACACCCGAA